UCAUCCUUGUUCUAUUAUCAUUCAACCUUUGCAUUACUCUAAAACUAACUCUACAGUCAUCUUCAAAUGAUUGAUUUUGGUGUCGCUCUUUAUUCUAUUUCAUGUUUCCUGUUUCUUAAUCUAUGACAUCUUGUGGAUUCUAAAACAUGAGAAAUUCAUCUCUCUAAUCUUAGAGACACUUUGAAAAACUUGAAGCAUUAAGGAUGGAUAUAUGGUUAUUUCCAUUGAUUGUUCAUAUAACUUGAGAUAUUGGUUGUUUAUUUUAAUCUCUCUGCACUAUGUUAAUUAGUGAGAAGAACCAUCACAGUUAGAACAUUAGUAUCCUUAAUGUGCAUAUGAAGUGUUUGCAAAAUGUCCUAAGUAAGUAUUAGUAUUUAGACUUGAGUUAGCAGAGGUAGUUUAUUAUGCAUGAAGGUGGUAAAUGGUAGCAUUUUUAAUGUCUUUUUUAUAUAGUUUGAUUUAAUGUUGCACCUCUGUUUUUUAUUUUUAUUAUUUAAAAAUUAUUGUUGGUGUUUAAUUUGGAUUUUGCAUAGAAAAUACUUUGAGAUACUUUUGUUUUCAUGUGAGUAUUUGAUAAUUGACACCAGUUCUAUAUUGUAUUUCUUUGUGCUUGGAGUGAUUGACUUGAUAAACAGCCAUGGUGUUCAUUGUGUUUUCACCAAAUAAGAUUAUUUUAUUUUAACACAUGAGAUUUAAGGGAUUAUUUGUAUGCUUGCUGACUGUUUUUGGCGGUGGGUAGGUGCACACUUCUGUACCUAGCUCCAAGCAAGGCCAUGGGAGGAAACUUUCCGUUGGAAGUAAAAGGGUUUUUGUAGUUAGAGCUGCAUCAUCGUCUGCAGAGUCAUCUGGAUCUAGUUGUAAUAUUGCCCCACUGAAGCUGGAGUCUCCAAUCGGGCAGUUUCUCUCUCAGAUUUUGGUUAGUCACCCACAUCUCAUGUCUGCUGCAGUGGAGAAGCAACUAGAGCAAUUCCAAACUGAUCGUGAUGGUGAUGAACAAAAGGAAAAGCCUUCUGCUUCAGGAACUGACUUAGUUUUGUACAGGAGCGAUUCGUAAAAAGAAGACAACAUCUUGUGGAUCCCAAUUCUUCCACCUUGAAGUUAAGCUUUGUAACUUAUUUUUCUGCAACUAUAAUGGUGCAAGUUCUUGAAAUACUCUCAGGCUGCUACAUUCUCGUUCAGAUGAAUGAUGGUGAUACCGAUGAAGAAUUUCAACAUUUGAAAGCACAAGAUUUAUAUAUAUCGAUAUUUAAGUUUUGUUUUUGUUUUUUUAUAGACGGGUAUUUUUAUUUCAAAGAUGUUAUUUUGAUUGCCUCCUCAUCUCUAGAACAUAAAUAAGAGAAAUUGAAUUAAUACAUCAUAUGAAUGACCAACAGUUACAAUGUCUCAUCAA